AUGUCAGCACAGGCGGCUCUGCUCCCCUCUGCAAACGCUGUGCAGAGGCUGGGCGUGCAGCUGGGCUGCCUGCCAGCUCGGGGAAUGGUUCUGCUCACGGAGACGGGGCCAGACCCCUGGAUAAACUCCCCUGCUUCUCUCCAUAAAGGUUUUGAAGUAGGGAGCUGCUCCAAGUGGCAGCCAUCUGGAGGAGAAUGCUGCUGCAGCUGCAGUCCUGGUAUUGUGUGCAGGAGCAGGGAGGCUGCCAGCAUUGAGCUCCUUUCUAGGACAAAAACCAUGGUUUCAGGUGUGGAUGCAGCAUGUGCCCCUCUCCUCCUGCUCGCAGCGCUCCCAGAGCAUGGGCAGCCGACCUCACCCCCACGGGGCUGCCUGGGCACCUCCAGCUCAGCCCCGUUCAGUUUGUCUGCUCCUGGCCACUUACGAGAAGCGAUUUAACCCCCAAAUAGUAAUGAUGGAAAAUCAGAUCCUACUUGAGGAUCUAAAGGUAGGCGGGUGGGACUUCACAGCAUGACAGCAGGGCAAGG
rnacentral:lncRNA from 1 species